GGAUCCGCGCCGCAUUAGCUAGUUGGUAAGGUAACGGCUUACCAAGGCAACGAUGCGUAGCCGACCUGAGAGGGUGAUCGGCCACACUGGAACUGAGACACGGUCCAGACUCCUACGGGAGGCAGCAGUAGGGAAUCUUCCGCAAUGGGCGAAAGCCUGACGGAGCAACGCCGCGUGAGUGAUGAAGGUCUUCGGAUCGUAAAACUCUGUUAUUAGGGAAGAACAAAUGUGUAAGUAACUAUGCACG
rnacentral:rRNA from 1 species